rnacentral:rRNA from 1 species
GGGGGGGGCGGGGGGGGGGCGGGGGGCGGGGGGGGCGGGCGAGCAGACGAGGAGCGUGCGCCGCGGACGGUAGCGGGGGGCGGGGGAGUAACACGGGGAGAACCGACGGAGAAGACGGGGAUAACUUCGGGCACCCGGAGCUAAUACCGGGGAAGCUAGGGAACCGCAUGGGUCCACGGUGAAAGACGGUUUUGCUGUCACGUGUACGUGGAUCCGCGCCGCAUGAGCUAGUUUGUAAGGUAACGGCUUAACAAGGCGACCAUGCGGAGCCGACCGGAGAGGGUGAUCGGCCACACUGGAACUGAGACACGGUCCAGACUCCUACGGGAGGCAGCAGUAGGGAAUCUUCCGCAGUGGGCGAAAGCCUGACGGAGCAACGCCGCGUGAGUGAUGAAGGGCUUCGGAUCGUAAAACUCUGUUAUUAGGGAAGAACAAAUGUGUAAGUAACUAUGCACGUCUUGACGGUACCUAUCAGAAAGCCACGGCUAACUACGUG